AACAUCGCCUCCUGCUAAAAUAUAGAAGGUACAGCCUGCCCAGUGACCCCUUUAACGGCCGCGGUAUCCCUAACCGUGCGAAGGUAGCGUAAUCACCUGUUUUUUAAUUAAAGACCCGUAUGAAAGGCACCACGAGAAUCACACUGUCUCCUUUUUCUGAUCAGUGAAACUAAUCUUCCUGUGAAAAAGCAGGAAUGUAACUACAAGACGAGAAGACCCUUUGGAGCUUUAGACACAUGAUAACCCCCUCCCCAUUUUUCUUCACACUAACAAUCUUAUCACUACCCUUCGGUUGGGGCAACCACGGAGAAAAAAAGAACCUCCGAGAUGAGCACACCUAGCAAAAGCCACAACUUUAGCUAUCAAACCCGACAUUAAUUGACCCAGUACUCUGACCAACGAACCAAGUUACCCAAGGGAUAACAGCGCAAUCCACUUUAAGAGUCCCUAUCGACAAGUGGGCUUACGACCUCGAUGUUGGAUCAAGAUAUCCCGGUGGUGCAGCCACUACUAACGGUUCGUUUGUUCAACGAUUAAAAUCUCACGUGA
rnacentral:rRNA from 1 species